rnacentral:rRNA from 1 species
UACGUAGGGUGCAAGCGUUGUCCGGAAUUACUGGGCGUAAAGAGCUCGUAGGUGGUUUGUCGCGUCGUCUGUGAAAUCCCGGGGCUUAACUUCGGGCGUGCAGGCGAUACGCGCAUAACUUGAGUGCUGUAGGGGAGACUGGAAUUCCUGGUGUAGCGGUGAAAUGCGCAGAUAUCAGGAGGAACACCGAUGGCGAAGGCAGGUCUCUGGGCAGUUACUGACGCUGAGGAGCGAAAGCAUGGGUAGCGAACAGGAUUA